rnacentral:rRNA from 1 species
UACGGAGGUUGCAAGCGUUGUUCGGAAUUACUGGGCGUAAAGGGCGCGUAGGCGGUUUCUUAAGUCUGACGUGAAAGCCCCAAGCUUAACUUGGGAACUGCAUCUGAUACUGGGAGACUUGAGUUCGGGAGAGGAAUGUGGAAUUCCAGGUGUAGCGGUGAAAUGCGUAGAUAUCUGGAGGAACACCGGUGGCGAAGGCGGCAUUCUGGACCGAAACUGACGCUGAGGCGCGAAAGCCAGGGGAGCAAACGGG